rnacentral:rRNA from 1 species
UACGUAGGGGGCAAGCGUUAUUCGGAUUUACUGGGCGUAAAGGGAGCGUAGGUGGCAUGGCAAGUCAGAAGUGAAAACUGGGGGCUCAACCUCCAGACUGCUUUUGAAACUGUCAAGCUAGAGUGCAGGAGAGGUAAGUGGAAUUCCUAGUGUAGCGGUGAAAUGCGUAGAUAUUAGGAGGAACACCAGUGGCGAAGGCGACUUACUGGACUGUAACUGACACUGAGGCUCGAAAGCGUGGGGAGCAAACAGG